UGUCUCAACUCACUCCUAGGGACCUGAGGCUGGCUCAGUGUGUGAGAAGAGGGACGCGGCGAUGCUAAGGGUUUAGGGGAAACUUGGCGAGUGGGCCAGCUGGCCUCGGGCAGCCAUCCCUGCACCACAGACCCCCGGGUACCCCCGUGCCAGACGGGCUGGUGAGCACUGGGACGCGGUCCCCAGUCCCCGGCAGAUGGCCACCCCGUGCGUCCUGACUCCCGUGGCGCGACAGCUCACAGAACAAGCGACACACAAGGGCAGAUGAGGAGAAAAACAGCCAAGGGAAGAGGCCCACGGUGUGCCGAGUUGCUAUUCGGGAGCCCCGAGAGGGGGCAAAUUGACAAGUGCGCGCACUUGACAACAGAGCCCUGAGUCUGUUUCCGGUCUCUGGACCCGGGCAUCUCUCCCAGGAGAGGCACAGGUUCCGGCCAUCGGGAGCCUGCAGGGGGAGCCUGGAGAAAGUUGUGGACAGAUGCCCACGUCCUGGACUCAAGGUCGGAAGGGACCAGAGAAGCGACUUCAUUCUCAGACAGACGUCCCGGAAUCUGUCUGACUUUCCGAGCCAAGCAGGACACCAGACAGCCUCUCAAGUCAGCAGACACCGAGGGACCGUGGGAUCCAGGGGGCAUGGCGAAUGACACAGCAGAUGUCUUCCCGGGGCUCGGACCCCCCCCCCCCGCCUCGGAAACCCCCCACCUCGGAGCCCCCCCACUGAGCUGUGACAUGUAGGCAGGCGUUCUUGACGUAUUCUUGAACACAGUCCUUUGUCAGAUACGAAGGAUCCUCACUGUGUGGAUUCCACAUCUGAGAGUUCACUUGCUCACUUGAACGAAUCUAACCCCAAAUUAAUCCCUCGGGUCUUACCCCAGUCACUUGUGAACAUGCACAGAGCAGGGAAAAUCGGUCCCUUGACACGCAGUUCAUACUGCUUGUGCCCCUUUCAUGGUCUGUUUAUUGCCUGUGUGUGUGUGAGAUUUUGUGCUUUUUCUCGGUGACACUCGGAAAGUCAAGGACUGUGCUAGCAGUGCUGUCCUGUGUCCCUAAGCUCCAGAAGGCUGUGAUGGGUCUCGUGCAGAUACGUGUGUUUCUCACAUAAGCUUCCUGCGGGCAUGAGUGUCGUGGGCCCUGAGCUCAACAUUCACGAAUCGUCAACAGUCAUUAAAUCAGGCGUCCUUAAACAGAAACACACAUGAAGCGAGGCCACGCGUGUGAACUCAGCGUUCGAGUGACCUGAUAGACCACAGCUACUGUGGGUCCCAGGAAUCAACUGUGUUUCCCAAAUGUUUUCUCCCCAUAGGCGACUUACCUGUUCUUUCUUUACUGAUGUCCCCUGAUGAACGGUGGCUUUGCAUUCUGAUGGAGGCUGAUUCACCAAUAUUUUCUUCUGUGGUUUUGUUUUGUGUGUCUUGAGAGGUCUCUGUCUACACCUUCUCUUCUAGAAGCCUUAUGGUUUCAGUUUUACUUGGGGCCUAGAAGCCAUCACACGCUUACCACCGUGUGUGUGUGAGGCAGUGUCCACACUGAAACAAUGCCAUGAUCCCACUCUUUCCCCCAGACACACGAGGACGCACAACCCACUGAAUGCACCUCCUGUUACUGAACGCCUCUGACCGUGGCCUCUGGGAUCAACAGCACAUUUCAUUGGGAAGAGCUGGGCCCCAUGCUUGUGACGUCCCCUUUGCCAGACAUUAACCCCCCUCUAAUAUGCACGCUGGAAUCAGGCUGUUAACUUGUUCAUUGAUUUAACCAAUAUUUAUUCAUCUCCUACUACGUGCCAGGCACUCCACUGGUUCUGGGGGUCAUCUAGGAGCUCCCAUUCCUAUGGGAGGGUGAGACACCAGGUGGUGAAUGGUCUGACUUAUGAUCUAUGUUAAAAUAGUGAUAAGUGGUUUGGAGAAGCGCAGAGAGCCACGUUCUGGUCCUGCGGGGAAGGCAGGGGAACCUCAGAGGCAGUGACACCAAAACUAAGCUCUAAAGGGAGGUGAGGGAUUAGCCAGAUAGGGCAGAGCAUGUGCAAAGGCCCUGGAGUGGGAAGGGAUCCUGAGCACUAAGGAUUAGAGUGCUAAGGAGGAAUAUCGGCUGUGGGUGUGAGGAGCACUGGCGGAGGGUGGCUUGGAGAGGCUGGUGCUGUCCGGCGGAAGGGAGCGGUCCACAUCGAUGACAUCCAGCACGGUAGCCAUCAGCCACGUCAAGCUGCAAGCCCUCGAGGUGUGGCUAGUGGGACCGAGGAGCCGAGGUUUCGAUUUUAGGUAAGAUUUAAGGAGCGCGCGUGAUGCGCUGGUUUUCGAGCAACAGCGGACAGUCCGGAGCUCAGAGCGGGCGGAUGACACGAUCUGACCUGCACCUCAUGUGUUGCUUGUCUUUGGCACCAACGUGAGCAGCGAGCGGACCCGCGGGAACGUCACCGUGGCUGUCGGGGAGAAACGGCGGCUUCCUGACCUCAGAAAUGGGUAAAUAGGUUCAGGGGUGGAUUGGAGAGAGAUGGGUAGGUUCAUGCGUGGACGGCCCGCUGACCAAGCAACAGGAGGAGGGGCUGUCCCGCCCCUUGCCAGGCUGCUGACCACGAGGACCAGGAGAUUCCCGUGGGCCGGGACACUCGGUGUCCACGUGGAACAGGCUGUCGAGCUCUGAGGCAAGGCUGAGGCUGCAGACUCUCUGAGCGUUCAGCGGAAGCUCGGUGCUGAUGAAUCAGCGUGGAGGUCACAUGAACACAAAGUGUGCUGCAAAAUCCAGACUCCCUGUUCCCCGGAUUCCUGGGCAGCACCGGCUGUGUGCUCACACGCGGUGCCCCCGGCUCCGUGGUAGGCAGGUGCCAAAGUCCUGUUCGAGGCUCAGAAACACCCGCAAGAGCCUCGCGGUGCUAACGGGCACGUUUCCACAGAGCUGGGCUCCACACCGCUGCUCCCUUCACGGUGUCCGAGUGUCCCAUGUGUGCCCGUCAGAUUGCCUUGGGCUCCUCCUCCUGUUGGGGCGCUUGACCCUCCCCAGCACCGUGUCCCCACGCGGGGCAGGCAGUUGACAGGGCAGUAGCCCAUCAUCCACAGAGCCCAUCAUCCACAGCCGUGGGAAUCAUUCACAGUGGUGACCCCUCAACGCAGGGCCAGGACGUCGUCCCAAAGACCGACGGGAAGUGAAUGUUGACUGCAGGCAGAGGCUCACCGUGGCCCAUCUGUGACGGGGACGCUUCCACCGGCUGGCCCAGCAUGCACUGGGGCAGCCCGAGUGCACACCGGACUGCAGGGGACAGAGGAACUUGCAGGGCCCUGGAACCACAUGGCAAAAUGCCCUCACAUCGCCAGGGACACGGGAAGCAGCCCCACGAUUACAACCGUCUCCCAGGGGUCCUGCCUCCCGGGGGCUUGCGGCCGCUGCAGGGACUGUCCCUGCCGCUGGGGACCCGCAGCUCAGGCUCACGGCCCCCAGGGCGUCUCCAUGCUCACUGCUGGCCGAAUUCAACAAGAGAAGCCCCUCUUGUUCCAAAGGGCCCCACCCCCGUAAUGACAGUGCCAAUGACUGUGGAACGAGGCUCAGAGGGGAAACCAGGCGUCCGUGUGGGCGCUCUCCGCACGUGGGAGUCAGUUGAUCGGAGACGCGACCCGCUGCAGGUUCUAGGUCCCAGGGGCAAAAUGCGGAUUUCGAACGACUUUAGGGCCUGAAAGCGCAAGCAUGUGCGACUGGAAGGGCGGGGACCGCACGUUUGUACCCGGCACGGUGGCGCUGUGAUAAAGAGGACGUGGCCAGCAGACCGGCCGCGGGGAGCCUGAGCCGGCACAUGCUCCUUCCCGUCCUGGCCACAAACGGCUUGCGCUCACAGCCCAAGGACCCGGCCCUUUCUUUGGCUCUGAAGAGAGGAAGCGAGAGGGACAUCGGUUGAUCGCUCACCGCCCCACAGAGGCGGUGGGGCCUCUUCUACGGCUUUGUCCCAGUUUGGGACCCGACUGCCGACAGCCACCCAUCACGGCCAGUGAGCACAGGGGGCAGAGACAUCCUCUGGACGAGACCGAGCCCCGCGUUGUGGCCUCAGGUCCCCGACGUAGAGGGCGGGCAGACAGUCCCCCCGAAGGGUCUGCAUCCUCCCAGACCCCGCACAGCCUGCGGGCAUGAGGCAGCUGGGGGCUCAGAAAUGCCCGGGUAACGGGGCUGCAGUGUCCCUACGGUGUGGGGAUGACACUGAGCUGGCCUUCUCCCCAGAUUCUCCCCCCUCCCUUGGACCUCAGACCUCCUCAGACCCUGCAUCUCCUGUGGUUCUUUGAAGUCAAACACCUGAUGACGUCCUGGUGGCCACUGUCACCACCUCCUGCCUGCCAUGCUGAGGGACAGCCUGUUGGCCAUUUGGGGCUCCCUGGGUGGGUGGGCAUGGGUGUCCCUGGGGGCUCACGGCCUGCAGCCCGGGCAGGAGUUCCUCACACCCCCGAGCCUGCCCUGAGCAUGACAUGGGCUUGGCCGUGACACCAGCACAGCUCCCCGGGAACAGAAAUGUGCCCGUUAUCAUUGGAACAACCGUCAACAAUGUGUCAAAGCUCGGUGUCCAUUGUGAGGCGUACCGAGAGUUCUACACACACACACACCCCCUACACACCCAUCGUGCUCAUUCCAGGCUCGUGCUUCCCGCAGUGUGAGCAAUGGUGUGCAGCCCAUGCCCAGUCGGGAACACCCAGGACCCUCAGGAGCUGCCCCCGUGGGCCCGAGCGUCACUGACUUGCUCCCUGUGACCACAGCCUGGAGGAGGGGGCGGGGCUGUUCCUGGUGGGGGUGAGGGUGAGCCAUCACGAGGGCGCCUGGAACAGGAAGAGACACUGUCCUGACCCAGGGGUGAGUGCUGGGGGCCCAGGAGACUGAGGCCUUGCCAGAGAUGGACCUCUGGGUGAAAUGGAGCCCUAGAGAUGAGGAGUGUGUCGUGAGGAAGGCGAUGUUUUCGGUCUCCGCCGUUGUCUCUGGCGUUGUCCGUAUGACCCGUCAUAAAUUGUGCAAACUUGUGCAGAGUUAUGAUGCAAACAUAUGUUUAUGUAGAUCCUGGGAGGACCACACACACAGGGAGAGGUUAGCAUCUACGUAGGGGGCUUUGCUUCCUUAUCCUAUCCCGGGAGACUCUGAUCUAGGCAAACAGCUUCAUCGUUCGUGACGAGAACUUUGCCAGAAGACCCAUCGACUCUUCAGUGGAAAACGUCCAGACAGUUUGGACACUAAGAUCCUGAGAUUGUUCGGCUUGCUGUUCCCCGGAUCCCUGCCUGUCACCCAGUCCUAACCGAAGCCACCUCACCCUGGAUGACCGAUUCUCCACGGACCCUGACCUCACCGCUCCUUGGAGGCAUCUUUGAAGCCCUGGGGUCUCCUUCCCCGAGCAGGACGCUCGACUCUCCUCACCUGCGGGUGCUGGUGGGACAUCUGGGGUCUGGCCCCCAAUGCUCGCGUGCAGAUCAGGGGCCUGGCUGUGGCCGGCUGUCUUAGGAUCCAGCGUCACCAUCCUGGGCUGCUGGGCAUGGAGUACCGUGUGCCCCACAUGAAGGUGACCCACCCCGCCUGACCCAGUGCCCUGAGGGGGUGGGGCAGCCUCGGGGGUGAUGGGGGACACCUGCUUCGCUAACUGCCUUCCAGGUGUGUGCGUGCCCAUAGCAGGUGGCCGUGUCGAUGACAUGAACACUCACGGAGGGCUUGUGUGCCAAGCAAAACUUCCGGGUCAGAAUUCAAAUCACAAGUGGCCACCUGUGUCGUCAGCAUCGUGACAAGCCAUCCUGUGCCUGCUCAGAUGGGCGGUCGUGUUCCACUGCCCUGGACCGCAGGAUCUCCCCAGGAGCCCAGGCUCAGCCGGGACGUCCUCACCAGCCCCGUGUUACGACCGUGACAGCAGGGUCCUACCCAGGGGCCUCCGUCCCACAUCUUCCUCUGGGACCCCCUUGCCCGGGUUACAGGGCGCUGCAGUUGGAGGGAAGAGAUGCGAGGCCGAGCUCUGGCGGGGAGAGCCGGUGCACCUGCAGGGAAGGACCCCGGGCACCACCUCCCAGGGAGGAAGAAGAGGUGCCCAGACCUGCGGCAGGUGCGGCAAGCCCCUGGCACCCUGAGAGGCUGCACAACACGACUGGAGCCGGAGAGGCUCUCAUCUAAGUUGGAUCAUGACAAGGAGAGUUUCCCUGGGGAUCCUUCUGGAUUCAGGCCCUACGUUGCUGGAGGUUUAUCUCAGCGAAGAGCCCGUGAGUGAACUUGUGACUUGUCCCGUAAUGUCCUCCCAGGAGGAGCGGUCUGCAUGGCUGACAAGAUGGUUCUUCCCCGCAGCGGUGGGGGCUGUGGGGCCUCCAGGUGGGCGCUGCUCUGCCCUCGUGGUGUCCCUGCCCCCUCCCGUCCUCCCUUCUCCUGGUGUCCAUGCUACAAGCAGAGACGUGGAAGAGGCCGCGUCCCCUUAUGUGCUCGGCACCGUCAGACCUGACGUGCACGUGAUCACGACCGUGCGUGUGGUCAGAGGAAACGCCCACGGACCCUCACGGGCUGUGACGCGGAUCAUUACUGACGAUCAACCAUCUGCAGCUUCAGGGUCUGGAGCGGGUCCCCCUGAGACACACCGACAUGUCUGAUGGCCUGCCGCCCGCCAACGUUCACGGCGGCUGGGAAGGCACACGUGGCAGGGGCCCGGGAGGAAGCCUGGAGACCUGGCGCCCGACUCGGCGACGUGCCGAUGGCCCUGGACCGAGUGUGCGUGACCUCGGGUGCCGUGACCCCACGCAGACGGUCACCGAGUGGGGAGAAGGCGGGUCCAGAGCUGGGCUCCAGCCAUCACGUCGCUGGUCCGUGUGCCUCACAUCACUGUGCAAACACCGUCCGCAGACGCGGUUCUCACUAAAAUGUUUUAAGCUUUCAAAGUGAAACGAACCAAGCAGCCUGUGUGGGGAUUUUAGGGGCACAGGUGCCAAGUCCAAACGUCAGGCCCUCGAGAGUAUGUCUCUCGCGCUCACUUCCGUGCCGAAGGUGUCCCGAACAGGCGGUGCCGUUGCCGCCCUGCAGGGACUCCAGAUAGCCAGGGAGACGUGGGUCGAUGCAAGGGCAGGGCCGUCACCUCCUAGGGCUGGAGUCACCCGUGAGCCUCUGUAUGCUGAGCUGGGGGUGACGGGAGGGAGCGGGCACCCCAUCCCGGCCCUCCUGGAGAUCCACCUGCGCUGGACCAGAUGUGGACCAGAUGGGCCGCGGAUUCCGCCUCAGCAGGUGCGUCACCUGUGCUGGUCCCCGCACUGGCUCCUCGGAUGGGAGAGGGCCCAGGGGACACCCCCCCGAGACCCCUGCUGUGUGAGGAAGCUUGGAACUGGAGACCCCUUGCGGGGAGUUCCUGACAUGUGCGGGGCCCCUGACACCCCACUCAGGCCUGCCAGGGUCCGGGGGAAAUCAGCGGGGACCCGCUCGCCACAUACAGAAUCGUGCAAAACAGAUCGUACCAGUUGCUUCCAUCUGGGCAUUUCGGUGGCUUGGAUGCCGUGGUGAGUGACCCCGGGAAAGCCCAGUUCGGGGGUUCCAGCUCAGCUGCCCUCAAUGGCAUACGUCCCUGUGGCUCUCUCACCAGCCCUGCCCUCCCCAGGGCAGCUUCCAGAUGCCUAGAGGGCGGGCUGAGGGGGGAGGGCCGCAUGAUGGAUCAGCUGUCUUUGCUCCACUAGCAUCGGGACCCCCAACAGCCCGAGAUGAUUCUCGGCGCGGUGGCCCCAGCAGCCCCCCGGGACAUAACACCACGUCCCCGGUCAGCAGGGGCGGCCACCUGUGUGUCUCUCUCAGUCUGUCUCUGUCUCUAUCUCUCCUUAUGGUCCCUCUGCUGGUGCCCGCAGAAUCCAGCUUGUCACAUGGACAACUACCCGAUCAGGUGUCCCAAAGGAAGCAGGCACAGCCACAGGGCCUCAUCGAUGGAGCCUCAGGAGUCCCACGGGCCACAGAGCCCGCCUGGGGACCUGUGGGGGAUCCAGGAAGAGGUUGGCCGUCCCAAAACCCUGCCCCCCCCCCGCCCCAGCACACAGCGCUGUCUGGUUACAUCCUCCCCCACCUGCAGGUGGACUCUGCAAUCCACAGGGCCUGCGGACAGCUUCCUGGUCCUCCUCCAUCUGGAGGUGACACCCCCAGGUCCCCUGCUCCUGCCCUGUCUGCUGACAAACAAUGUUUACAGGACGAGGGAUGGAAAACGCAGCAGUUCUACCUGGUUGGACAGGAACGAAUACGUCUGUGUGAAGCAACACGUACUCAGGCUAAUGUUUCGUAAAGCCAUUUCCAAACAAGAGGUUUGGGCUGCAAAUACGAGAAAGCCCAUCUCAGAGGGGCUCUUACAGCAAUGGCAUUUAGUGGUGUCGCGGAAGAAGCAGAGUGAGGCCGGAGAUGAACGACGCCCCACAGCCGGACACGUCCUGACCUUCUGUUUCGAUUCCCAGCACGAGGACUCUUAACCGUCAUGCUGGCUGCCUCCUAGUUACAAAAUAGCUACCAGAGUUCCAGGCAUGACACCAACAUCCCACACUGGAAGGAAGGGGCGGGGGGAAAGUUGAUGGAGUCCCCAGGUGAUUUUUUUUUUUUUUUACCUCGCUGGGUCCCUUUCACCCCUGGAACAAUCGGUGGCAAAAGAAAGGGGCAUUAUUGCUGUGACUAAUUUACACUAAAGGGAUGUGGGAACCUUCUCUUCUCUGAGCUCAAGGGCUCUUUGCCAGCUACAUAAAUGCAGAAUUGGGUUCUUCUGGUAGGUGAAGAAGUGAGGAGCCAGUGACUAGGAGAAGGAUGGUUCUUCCAUGAGCGUAGGGUUGGGUGGGGAGGGUCCCAGAUACGGCUUCUUGUGUUAGGCAGGGCCUGUGUUCAGAGCUCGUAAAUAAGGUCAAAUCUCGACUCUGUUUGGAUUAGAGAAGGAAGAACGUGGAAACGUGAGCAGUGAAGCCAACGGUAGCCUCUCAUUUGAAUCCCGCAUCCCGCACUUUGUCUUGGAAACAAAAGCGAUCCGAGGAGUUCGUGCCCAGUCUCCCCCGACCAGAAUCCUGCUGAGGCAUCGAUGGCCUCACAGACCCUCUCCGGAGGGUAAGAUGAGGCCAGGUGGAUGCAGGCAGGGCCAGCUGCGAGGACAGCUUCUCUGGGAGCUCCCCAAAAUGGGGAUCAGCCCGCACAUCAACUUCCAGCUAAUCUGGGUCAGAACCCUGUGCAGACGGGUCCGAGACUCGGAUCCACCUGUCAGCAGGGUAUGCCAGGCUGGUACGUUUUCUCCCACCGCAACUGUGAAAAUUUCCGUCACCAUAUACAGUUGGGAAAUGCCAGGGGCCUCUCCCCGGACGUCAGCCCCAGCACGGAUGGACAUGGGGCAAGCCAACAGCAGGUGCACUGGCCAGGACCCAGCAGCGGAAGCCGAGUGCGGAUGUGAGUGUAAGCGGUCGGGCCACCCGGCAAACAGCUGGCAGCUUCCCCUGGAGGGAAGGGCUCACCUGGCCUGUUAACCGGGACAAAUGAAAAUACGUGCCCCCCCUCCGACCCCUGCCAAAGACUCAGGUAAGAAAACGUAGAGCAGCUGUCCUUGUAGGAGCGAAGACGUGGAAACAUCCCGAGCCUCCAGGUAAAUGGGGAAUGCUUCUGAGUAUCUCAAAACGUGCAGGCCAGGACGCUGAGCAGGGAGCUAUAAAUGCCCUGGAAGGCGGCAGCUCCAUGGCGAGGCCCCGGGGCAGGGCACGGGCCCCCCUGACAGGUGCCGGAAAUGGUCUACUGGUCUAUCUUGGCUGUCUCGGAUGCUGGGACGCACAGACGCUCGCGUGUACGCGAGACUGGCUGGAAAAGUCUCGAAACUCGGCCCCAGAUAACAAGCGUGCACUUCAGUAGGACCUCCUGGGACUUAAUUCCUGAGCAACGCUGGCCGCCCGCGGCUGUGCUUCCCAAUUCCAGGGCUCCUGGGGGGCGGGUCCCGCUGGGGCGUCCUCCCCAGCCGCGCGGCAGCCUGGCGGCCUUCUGUGGUCUUUUCUCUCCGGGCUCUUCUUCGUUUCCUCGCUCUGGUCUCUCUUCCACUCCCGAAAGGACCUUUCUAGGACCCUUGUAGGUUACGUGAUCCCGAGAAGGCACUGGGAUGAACUCACGGCAGAGAUGAAGUCGUCCGCAGAGCACACACGUUUUCCUCGUCUGCACGGGCUCGUGGGAGAGGAGAGAAGCCUCAGAUGCAAAAGGGAGAGGGGUCCAGCCCGUCCCUCUCCUAGUGCCCCUGGAGCAUCCGUUGUCCCAGACCCUCCUCAGAGCCACCGAGAGGGGGUAAGAUCCCGGCACAGAUGCACUCAGAAUCGCUGGCGCUGUUCGCAUCAGCGCCCGAGCCCCGAGGACAUGCGCUCCGCAGGGUGGAGGAGGCCUUCCCGGCUGCCCUAAACCGGCCACCUGGAAUCCGGGACCCCCAGAGAGGCCGAGGGCUGCUCCCUGGCCCUGGCAGAAGAGCCCCCGCAGGCUGCAGUCAACGUGCUGGGCCCCCCUCGGCACGGAGGGAGGGAGGAGGAAGAGGAGCAUCCCCGAUGAGGGCAUCUCGCCUCAGGAAACCGGAAGGAGCGAGUCCCGAGCAGCAGGAAAGCGGCAAACCCUAAGGGCAGCAGGACCCUUGGUCUCAAGGGUCACCACCCCCCCCCCCCACUGAUCUCAGGGACAGCACGGCCUUUGGGCAUAGAAACGGGGUGGGGGCAGGAAGAGAGGGGACGCAGUUCCAGCUCGGGCCAGCGGCACGCUCUCAGUUACAGGGGCUCAAGAGUUGGUAAUGACCCAACGAGAUUAAACGUGCAAACCGUCUGAGCAAGUUCGCCCAGAAAGUGUGUGUUUUACAGACCGCGGAUGGGUCUGUCUUUUGCCCCCAAAGUGGAACCAGUAUGCCACUACAAGGUGACCUUUGUACAGGGAGCAACACUGCAGGUGGCGGCAUCCGGGGACCCUCGUCACCUGCAGGGCUAGUCGGGGUGGGGCCGCGGGGACCGCUGUGGGGGCUGGAGCAGGUCCCCGAGCCGUGAGGAAGCCCGCCGUAUGUGUCCCUGGAAAACACAUUGGAAGGAGGGCUGCCCCCGUCCGAACCGGAUUUGCUCCUGAACAACCUGUGCAGUGAAUAGACCUGCAGCCUCGUCCGUGACAACAGUCACCGGGGCUCUGCUGGGCCGGCCCCGCUCAGCUGGGCUCCACUGUCCCGGGGCCCGGGACACCCGGACCAUCAGCACAUCCACUUGCCGGCUCUGCAGACUGCUUUCCAUGCCUCUGCACACAGGAGCAGCUCAACCCCAGGCAGCCUGCAAUCCCCCAUCUCUCCUGAAAUGUUUCCAGUUUGCACCUGCAAAGAUUCAGUUGUGUGGUGUAAGCCAGUGCGGUAAACCCUUGGAUCGCAAGUAACUUGUUCUGUGAGCGUUCCGAGGGAGCAAACGUUUCCGAUAUAUUUUAACUUGAUAAACGAUUGAUCCCUUGAAAUACAAGUAGUACGUGAUGCUGAAUGUCACCGGAUCACAACUGAGCCAAUGGUUCCUCUCUCUCUCCCUCCCUCUCUCUCUCUAUCUCUCUCACUCUCUCCCCCUCUGUCUCCAGGAUUGUGAUUGUCUCCCAUGCUUGGAUGCUUGGUCUCAGGCUAUAGUGUUUGGCAGAAAUCGGUGAUUUUUCAGAACAUUAGAAGGUGCCCCCAACUGGCACUGGUGUAUUUUUUGUCACUUCAGAGCACUUAUGGACAGCCCUCUGCUUUUCCAUACAAGAGUGAGCUUAGGAAUGCUUUGCUAGGUCAGGCUGCCUGCAGAUAGAGACCUUUCCUCUGCUGUCUUAUUGCCAGUUACAUUAAAUACAGAAUAUGACAAGAGCUUAUUAAUGCUGUAAUGUAGUCAACAUCCGUGUGAGCGUGCGAGCGUAUACAACGGCCCCCAUGCAGAGAAAGACUCCAUUGAGCCGACAGAUAGCAGUGAUUCUGUUAGUGAUAGUGAAAGUCGUUCGGCACAAUAACCCUCCUCCUUUGUCUCCCUUCACACCAGCCAUGAAGGUUUUUGAAGGGAAGUGCAGGUUAAUUUGUUUAUUUUUCUUUGUAUUUUGUAUUUAUUAUUUUGUUUUAUUGUAUUGUAGUCAUUUUUAUAUGAAGAUUUUUGGGUUGUGAACGCGCAAAUCUUCUGAGUCUCCAUCACAGUGAAACCUUGGACUGAGAGGAACUUGUUCCGCGAGUGUUCCUCAAGGCGAGCAAACAUUUCUAAUAAAUUUCGACUUGGUAAACGAG